CGCACGAGCCGACCAGCCCGCAGCGGCUGCAGCGGCUGGAGCGGGAGAACGCUUGCCUGCGGAGAGACAUCGACCGCCUGCAACAGCAGCUGCAGUAUGAGAGAAGAAGGUCGAGCAGCCUGCAGCAGCAGCAGCAGCUACGGC